UCUAAUAUGGCAGAAUAGUGCACUGGACUUAAACCCCAAAUAUAAGAUCAUCUUUUUUAGAA
rnacentral:tRNA from 1 species